UACGUAGGUGGCAAGCGUUGUUCGGAUUUACUGGGCGUAAAGGGCGCGUAGGCGGCCAGCACAAGUCAGUUGUGAAAUCUCCGAGCUUAACUCGGAAAGGUCAACUGAUACUGUGCGGCUAGAGUGCGGAAGGGGCAACUGGAAUUCUUGGUGUAGCGGUGAAAUGCGUAGAUAUCAAGAGGAACACCUGCGGCGAAGGCGGGUUGCUGGGCCGACACUGACGCUGAGGCGCGAAAGCCAGGGGAGCGAACGGG
rnacentral:rRNA from 1 species